rnacentral:rRNA from 1 species
UACAGAGGGUGCGAGCGUUAAUCGGAAUUACUGGGCGUAAAGCGUGCGUAGACGGUUAUUUAAGUCGGAUGUGAAAGCCCCGGGCUCAACCUGGGAAUUGCAUUCGAGACUGAAUAGCUAGGGUGCGGUAGAGGGAAGCGGAAUUUCCGGUGUAGCGGUGAAAUGCGUAGAUAUCGGAAGGAACAUCAGUGGCGAAGGCGACUUCCUGGCCUGUUCUUGACGCUGAGGCGCGAAAGCUAGGGUAGCAAACGGG